rnacentral:lncRNA from 1 species
GUUUGGACAAUGUAGCCCUCAGAAAAAAUAGAAUGUACACAUUCAGACAAUGUCGAGGAAGGAAGUAUUUGUCACUGGAACGUGGAACAUCUGCUGCGCCCCUGGAGUUCUCUGCCUGGCGAGAGUUGAGAUCUCCAGGGUUUCCCCGUGUGUCAUCCUCUGAGAUGCGUCAGUUAGGAGCAGUUUCUGCUCUGUCAUGCCCUUCUGUGUUUUGACUUCACCAUGACUUGCUAAAUGAGAACUCUCAAGCAUGUACGCUCUGAAAGCAUGGGUUUGGGAUCAGCUGGGCAUGCGCUGUGGAGUGGCACAACCUGCCUUCCCCUACUCUGCACAGAUGUCGGUGAACGGAGCCUCUGACACCCAGGAAAAGUAGAAGGAAAAUCAAGGCUACACUCAAGUUGUUUGCCAAGAGGAGGUAAACUGUGUUGCUGUUACUUUUUUCGGGGGAACAGAUUAUGUAUGUGACAUGCAGCAAUGCUGGACAGAGGCCGCAGGGUGGCAACCUAGACAGUUCUGAAAACGCUAGGCAAGGUCACAAGGUCACGUACAGGUAACUCCUGGCUUGCUCUCCUGCAGGCCUCUUGGAAGACAGUGCUACCCCCAGUCCUAGCCUGGCUUUCACCUGCUCAAAGUCUCAGCUAACCCCUUGUUUCAGGCAGUUCACCUCCUGUGAGAACCCUGAAUCCUUCUCCAGCUCUGGAGCCACAGUGUUAGCAGAUGCUGCAGUUUGGUGUCAUAAAAGCCAGUUUUUGACGUCCACUUCUUCCACCUGACAUGCUGCCCUUGUUCUGUCACACUACACCUGUUGUCACAGGCUUGACCCUUCUCUCUGCUGGCAGCUCCUCUUCAGAAACCUAACCAACCCUGCCGUGCAGCCUGUCAAAAGCACCUGGGCUCUGGUGCCUUCCAGCUUCACCCAUGCAUGCGUCUUUGCAUUUUCCAACCAGAAAAGGAAACACACUCUCUAAAUAGUCCAUCCAUCUCAUCUGGCAAGAGGAAAGACCAAGGCAUUAAUUUGUUACACAGAUAUUUCUGAGCCAGGUGCUAUAUGCUGGGCACUGGAUGAGAAGAUGAAGCCUGAGUCUAGCCAGAGCCCUCAUGCUUAGCACGACAUCUGGUCAGCACAAUGUCUGGUCUUCAGCAUAAGAGACUCUAACUUUCCUGAAAGCCAUGAUGAGGGAGAGCAGGACUCAGCGUCACUUCUCUGCCAACAGCACAAUGAAGAUGGGGAGCCACAAGCGCAGACUGGUUCUGUUACAAGAACCAAUGAAGACAGGUCACAAAGAUGGGGCCAACGACAAUAAUGUGAAGAUGUUGCUGAUGUGAUAAUGUAGAUGCUGAUGAAGUUGAAGCUGACACAAUUAAUGAUGAGUUUGCUGGACAUGGCACCUAAAUAGCUGAACUCUGAGACAUCCGGACUGCUUGUCUCUGGAGAGGUUCUGUAUCUGGAAGGCCAGGAAUAGAAACCCUGACUAAGAAACCACACUAUGGGCACUACUGGACUGGCUAUCCGGAAUAGAAGUAACUGGGCUUGCUGCUUGA